CUACGGGAGGCUCCAGUGGGGAAUAUUGCACAAUGGGCGCAAGCCUGAUGCAGCCAUGCCGCGUGUAUGAAGAAGGCCUUCGGGUUGUAAAGUACUUUCAGCGGGGAGGAAGGGAGUAAAGUUAAUACCUUUGCUCAUUGACGUUACCCGCAGAAGAAGCACCGGCUAACUCCGUGCCAGCAGCCGCGGUAAUACGGAGGGUGCAAGCGUUAAUCGGAAUUACUGGGCGUAAAGCGCACGCAGGCGGUUUGUUAAGUCAGAUGUGAAAUCCCCGGGCUCAACCUGGGAACUGCAUCUGAUACUGGCAAGCUUGAGUCUCGUAGAGGGGGGUAGAAUUCCAGGUGUAGCGGUGAAAUGCGUAGAGAUCUGGAGGAAUACCGGUGGCGAAGGCGGCCCCCUGGACGAAGACUGACGCUCAGGUGCGAAAGCGUGGGGAGCAAACAGGAUUAGAUACCCGCGUAGUC
rnacentral:rRNA from 1 species